rnacentral:rRNA from 1 species
UACGUAGGGUGCAAGCGUUUGUCCGGAAUUACUGGGCGUAAAGAGCUCGUAGGUGGUUUGUCGCGUUGUCCGUGAAAACUCACAACUCAAUUGUGGGCGUGCGGGCGAUACGGGCAGACUGGAGUACUGCAGGGGAGACUGGAAUUCCUGGUGUAGCGGUGGAAUGCGCAGAUAUCAGGAGGAACACCGGUGGCGAAGGCGGGUCUCUGGGCAGUAACUGACGCUGAGGAGCGAAAGCGUGGGGAGCGAACAGG